UACGAAGGGGGCUAGCGUUGCUCGGAAUUACUGGGCGUAAAGGGUGCGUAGGCGGAUACUUAAGUCGGGGGUGAAAGCCCGGGGCUCAACCUCGGAAUUGCCUUCGAUACUGGGUAUCUUGAGUUCGGGAGAGGUGAGUGGAAUGCCGAGUGUAGAGGUGAAAUUCGUAGAUAUUCGGCGGAACACCAGUGGCGAAGGCGACUCACUGGCCCGAUACUGACGCUGAUGCGCGAAAGCGUGGGGAGCAAACAGG
rnacentral:rRNA from 1 species